GACAGAGGUGCCGAGCGUUAGGCGUAAUCACUGGGCUUAAAGCGUGUGUAGGCGGGUCGUUAAGUGUCUUGUGAAAUCCCCCGGCUCAACCGGGGAAUGGCUGGGCAUACUGGCGAUCUUGAGCAGUCUAGGGGCAGAUGGAACAAGUGGUGGAGCGGUGAAAUGCGUAGAUAUCACUUGGAACGCCAACGGUGAAGACAGUCUGCUGGGGACUUGCUGACGCUGAGACACGAAAGCCAGGGGAGCGAACGGG
rnacentral:rRNA from 1 species